rnacentral:rRNA from 1 species
UAUUGGACAAUGGGCGAAAGCCUGAUCCAGCAAUGCCGCGUGAGUGAUGAAGGCCUUAGGGUUGUAAAGCUCUUUUACCCGGGAUGAUAAUGACAGUACCGUGAGAAUAAGCUCCGGCUAACUCCGUGCCAGCAGCCGCGGUAAUACGGAGGGAGCUAGCGUUGUUCGGAAUUACUGGGCGUAAAGCGCACGUAGGCGGCUUUGUAAGUUAGAGGUGAAAGCCUGGAGCUCAACUCCAGAAUUGCCUUUGAUACUGCAUCGCUUGAAUCCAGGAGAGGUGAGUGGAAUUCCGAGUGUAGAGGUGAAAUUCGUAGAUAUUCGGAAGAACACCAGUGGCGAAGGCGGCUCACUGGACUGGUAUUGACGCUGAGGUGCGAAA